rnacentral:rRNA from 1 species
GACGAACGCUGGCGGCGUGCUUAACACAUGCAAGUCGAACGGUGAAGCGCCUUCCUUUUUGGUGGGUGUGGAUGAGUGGCGAACGGGUGAGUAACACGUGAGUAACCUGCCCCCUUUUUCUGGAUAACCGCAUGAAAGUGUGGCUAAUACGGGAUAUUCUGGGUCUGUCGCAUGAUGGGUCUGGGAAAGAUAUUGUUUCGGUGGGGGAUGGGCUCGCGGCCUAUCAGCUUGUUGGUGGGGUGAUGGCCUACCAAGGCGGUGACGGGUAGCCGGCCUGAGAGGGUGGACGGUCACACGGGGACUGAGACACGGCCCAGACUCCUACGGGAGGCAGCAGUGGGGAAUAUUGCACAAUGGGCGCAAGCCUGAUGCAGCGACGCCGCGUGAGGGAUGGAGGCCUUCGGGUUGUGAACCUCUUUCGCCAGUGAAGCAGGCCUGCCUCGUUUGUGGGUGGGUUGACGGUAGCUGGAUAAGAAGCGCCGGCUAACUACGUG